rnacentral:rRNA from 1 species
ACAUACGACCACAGCCGCCUGAGAAUUCUGGAUCCCGUCCGAUCUCCGAUUCUUUUUGUCCGCUCGCGGCCUAAUCUAGUUGGGUCGGUGACGACCAGCGAAUACCUGGUGUUGUAUGUU